rnacentral:lncRNA from 10 species
UGAGAUCACGCCACUGCACUCCAACCUGGACAAUAAGAGUGAGACGCUGUCUCAAAAAAAAAAAAAAAAGGUUAUGGAAAACUGGAUCACUUAUCAUGUAUUGCUGCUGAGGAUGCAAAAUGGAACAGCCAUUCUGGAAAACAGUAUGGCUGUUUCUUACAAAGUUAAACAUGUGCGAACCAUAUGACCCAGCAACUGUACACCUAGACAUUUAUCUGAGAGAAUGAAAACAUAAUGUUCACACAAAAGCUUGCAUAUGAAUAUUCACAGCAGUUUUAUUUGUAAUAGCCAAAAACUGGAAACAACCCCAAUGUCUUUCAAUGGGUGAAUGGUUAAAUAAACUGUGGUACAUCCAUACCAUGGAAUAUUAAUCAACAAGAAAAAGAAAUGAACUACUGAUACAUGCACCAGCUUGGAUGAAUCUCCAGGGCAUGUUGCUGAGUGAAAAAAAGCCAGUUCCUCAAACAUUACAUACUGUUUGAUUUCACUUAUAUAACAUUCUUGACAUGACACAAUUAUAGAGGUGGAGGACAGAUAAGUGGUUGCCAGGUGUUAGGAAUGGAAGGAGGUAAGAAGGCAGGUGCAGCUUUGAAAGGGUGACAGGAGGGAUCCCUGUGGUGAUGGCAAUGUUCGGCAUCUUGACUGUAUCAACAUCAAUGUCCUAGUUGCAACAUUGUAUUAGAGUUGCAUAAAAUGUUACCAUUGGGAGAAACUGGGUAGAGGUACAAAGGAUCUAUUAUUUCUUACAACUCUAUAUAAAUCUAUAAUUAUCUCAGAAUUAAAAGUUUAACUAAAACUACAUUCAAAAGAGGUUUCAUACUGUAUGUUUCCAUUGAUAUAGCAUUCUUGAAAUGACAAAAUUAUAGAGAUGAACAGAUUAGUUUCCCAGGGUUUAGACGGUAGGUGGAGGGAAGUGGCUAUAGCUAUAAAAAUGUAGUGGGGGCUCCUUGUGAUGGAGCUAUUCUGUAUCUUGACUGUGGUGGUCCCCAUGAAUCCUCACAUGUAAUAAGGCUGCAUAGAAUUAAAUACACAGAGACGUACACAAAUGAAUACAUGUCACACUGUCACACUGAUGAUGAAAUCUGAGUAAGGCCAAUGGAUUGUAUCAGCAUCAAUUUCCGGGUUGUCAUAUGGCACCACAAGAUGUUAUCACUGGACGAAAGGUGUAAGAGAUAUCUCUGCGUCAUUUCUUACAAUGGCAUGUACACAUACAAUUAUCACAAAAAUCAGAUAAAAUUACAAUAAAUAAAUUAUAUUUUUAAAUGUUUAAAAUAUAUUAAACAUAUAUAUUAAAAUAAAUUUAAAAUAUUGAAAGACGUCUGGGUUGUUUCCAGUUUUUGGCUAUUACAAAUAAAGCUGCUAUGAACAUUCAUAUGCAGGCUUUGAAUGAACAUUAAGUUUUCAUUCUCUGGAAUAAAUGUCUGAGAGUGCAAUUGCUGGGUCAUUUGGUAAGCAAACUAAAAACUCAUCACUUCCUAAUUAUUUUAUUACAUUUCCCUCCUAUCUGUGUCCUUGGGAUUAUUUAUAUCUAUUGUAUCUAUCUAGUGGCUGACUGAUGUCAUGUUGGUAUUUUUUUGUUGUUGUCAUUGGUUCUGUUUUUGUGAUGGAUUACACUUAUUGACCUGCAUAUGUUGAACCAGCCUUGCCUCCCAGGGAUAAAGCCAACUUCAUCGUGGUGUAUAAGCUUUUUGAUGUGCUGCUGGAUUCAGUUUGCCAGUGUUUUAUUGAGGAUUUUCACAUUGAUGUUCUUCAGGGAUAUUGGCCUCAAGUUUUCUUUUUUUUGCUGUGUCUCUGCCAGGUUUUAGUAUCAGGAUGAUGCUGGCCUCAUAAAAUGAGUUAGGGAGGUGUCCCUCCUUUUCAAUUGUUUGGAAUAGUUUCAGAAGUAUUGGGGGAACCCGCCCCCAAUAUUUCAACGUAGGUUCUUUCUAUUUUCCCUAAGUGUUGGCUGGUCUGAGAAAUAAAGAGUACAAAGAGAGGAAUUUUACAGCUGGGCUGCUGGGGGUGACAUCACAUAGCGGUAGGACCGUGAUGCCAACCUGAGCUGCAAAACCAGCAAGUUUUUAUCAGGGAUUUCAAAAGGGGAGGGGGUGUACAAACAGGGAGUAGGUCACAUGCUUUAAGGGGUAAAAAGCAGAGCAAAGAUCACAUGCUUCUGAGGAAACACAGCAAGGACAAAAUCAGAACUCCCGAUAAGGGUCUACGUUCAGCAGUGCACAUAUAGUCUUGAUAAACAUCUUAACAGAAAACAGGGUUCAAGAGCAGAGAACCAGUCUGAACUCAAAUUUACCAGGGUUGGGGUUUCCCAAUCCUAGUAAGCCUGAUGGUACUGCAGGAGACCAGGGCCUUAUCUCAACCACUUAAGACAGACACUCCCAGAGCCUUAUUUCAGGCUUUAUCUCAACCACUUAAGACAGACACUCCCAGAGUGGCCAUUUAUAGACCUCCCCCAAGGGAUGCAAUUAUUUUCCUAAGGUCUUAAUAUUAAUAUUUCUUGCUAGGAAAAGAAUUUAGCGAUAUCUCUCCUACUUGCACACCCAUUUAUAGGCUCUCUGCAAGAAGAAAAAUAUGGCUCUUUUUGCCUGACCCUACAGGCAGUCAGACCUUAUGGUUGUCUUCCCUUGUUCCCUAAAAUCACUGUUAUUCUGUUCUUUUUCAAGGUGCACUGAUUUCAUAUUGUUCAAACACACAUGUUUUACAAUCAAUUUGUACAGUAAACACAAUCAUCACAGUGAUCCUGAGGUGAUGUACAUCCUCAAUUUACGAAGAUAACAGGAUUAAGAGAUUAAAAUAAAGACAGGAGUAAGAAAUUAUGAAAGUAUUAUUUGGAAACUGAUAAAUGUCCAUGAAAUCUUCACAAUUUAUGUCCUCUGCCAAGGCUCCAGCCAGUCCCUCCAUUCGGGGUCCCUGAAUUCCUGCAACACAGAAGGAAUGGUACCAGUUCCUUUUUGUACCUCUGGUAGAAUUUGGCUGUGAAUCGUCUGGUCCUGGGCUUUUUUUGGUUGAUAGGCUAUUAAUUACUUUUUUUUUUUAAAGAUAGGGUCUCACUCUGUUGCCCAGUCUCGGGUAUAGUGGCACAGUCUCAGCUCACUGAAACCUCCACCUCCCAGUUCCAGUGAUCCUCCCAUCUCAGCCUCCCGAGUAGCUGGGAUUACAGGCAUGUGCCACCACACCCAGCUAAUUUUUGUAUUUUUAGUAGAGACAGAGUUUUACCAUGUUGGUCAGGAUAAUCUUGAACUCCUGGCCUCAAGUGAUCCACCCACCUUGGCCUCCCAAAGUGCUGGGACUACAGGUGUGAGCCACUGAGUCUGGCCUCAUAUUCAGAUUCUUGUGAGAAUACUUAUACCACAAGAAUGGGCAAACACUACAAAUCAGGGCUUUCCCCACCUCCUCUAGAGCCUGUUGUUAAGCAUCUGCCAGCACACCACUGGGUUGGCCUGCUUGUCAGAGUCUGAGGAUGUGGAGUGUGGUCUUUGAGGAGGAUGGGAGCAAGAGCUGAACUAGGAGCAGCAGGGUUGCCGGAUGCUGCUGCAGGCCCAGCUGAGGGAGGAGACCACAGUUGGACAGGGCCAGGCCUGCUGGCAUUAGCAAACGCCAUUGGCUGCAUUUGUUGAGGACUGGAGUUUUGCCAGGUGCCUGUAAGGGAAGAACAAUGGGGAGAGGGAGUUUAGAAUGGAAAGAGUUAGUGUUUGGUGCUGGAGCAUGGAUUUGAGAUGGAAAGGGAGAGAUGUGGAGAAACAGAGAUUGUGGGAUGGGCAUGGAGGUGUCCAUGGGCUGAAAGUCCCAAAGAGCCAGAGGAACAGUGUGUCACAGGUGACUGAGCUAAUCUGCUAGAGUGGAGGGAAGAGGAGGGGAGGGAGAGAAGAACCCAAGGGAAGAGAAAGAAAAACAUUCAUUUUGGGCAGAGGCAGGAAAGGGAAACUAAUGUGUCAGGUUUGAGGCUGUUUGGGGGCAUCAUUUUGUGAUAGUAAAUGUCUCUAUUUUAAUCAAUAAGGCUAAAGGACUUGAUUGAGAAUCUAAACCACCCCAGGGACCAGGCUAAAUGUCUCCAUUUGCAAUUCUUAAAUUGUCAUAAGAGUCUGAAAUGAUCAGACUCUUCAGAGGUGUCCCAGAUCACAGGACAAAGGGUACCCAAGAAAAUGAAGAGUGGCUGGGACAGUUCACAG